AACAACCACUGGAUUGAUCAACCUGGAAGGCAAGAGAUAAACCAAGUUGAGUUAUUUGGCAUGUCCCACAAAAGGCCCGACAUCUGGCACAUCAAAUUCUUUGCAACACAAAGUUUCAUUACUGGAACAUGAAGAAGCUAUACUGAGAGAAUGCAAGAUAAGAGGUUACUACUUACCAGUGGAUGAAAUCAAAUGUCUCAAUCACAUUUUAUUGGACAAUAUCAUCUUUAAUUCUCCAACAACUGUGCAAUAUUGAGGGAAUUUUGAAACCAAAAGAAUGGUUUACUGUAUGGCUUACGUUGGAUGACUAAAGGGUCCCCCUCUAUACUCAACAACCAGCCAUAAUGUAGGAUGAAAUAUAAGCUUUAGGUUGAUUACAAAAUAACUUAUCAUCGGUUCUUGUACCUAAUAGGAAUAAGACUGCACGUUAAGAGCAGCAUAGAUGAGCCAGUAACCUCAAGGGAGCCAACCUCAGGCCUAACCAACUGACCAAUCCAUGCAUGUAGGCAACCGUAAAAGCUAAUUAUAUUUUAGUGUGCAUUUGACACAGGAUUAAAGGAACGAGGGUGAGGGUGAGAAGUUAUAGGAGUA
rnacentral:misc_RNA from 1 species